UUAUUUUUAUUCCUAUUCAAAUUUGCAUGGUUUCUGUUCUCCUUUUUUUGCAGAAGGUCAAUUUGGAGCAGAUUUUCGAGGAGGAGGCCUCAAGUGGACAUGGUGAAUCAGAUGCCAGGUGAUGUGAAUUCAAAAUCCUCCUGCUCCAACCAGAAAGUCUCUAAGCCUCGUUUCCUGUCCCCCAAAAGCCAGCGGAAAUCGUGCAACGACAAGGGCUUUGACGAUGGUGACGAUUACAUGAACACUGAAGAUCUCGACGUCUAUGGAAAUGUGUGAAAUAUAGCCUCCUAAGAAUGAUCAAAAACACACAAACAAUCCUCAUCAUGCUCAUAAUCAUGUUUUUUUAGAUGGUUGUUUUAUUAUGCAUGGUCAGCAAUGUUGAAUGCUGUCACUGAUGAUUUUAUUGUUUUAAUUGGAAUGUAUUGGUCUGUAUUUUGUAUGAUUUCUGUACAAUUUCAUUUUUACAUGCUGUAAUGAUUCAUGAUGCCUUCUGCGUCCUGUAAAUAUGUCACUUCGGUUAGCUAGUGUUUGGUAAGACUUGCUGUCAUCGCAGGUCGUGGCACACACUGUGCCAUAGUGAGAAUCAGUUAGGAAAAAUCAAAACCAAAGGAAAAAAAUGAAGCCAACAAGUAUGAACAAGAAUUUAAUUGAAUAAAGUCCUUUUUGGAAAAAAAGUUGUUUAUCCAUUUUUUUUAUCCACUAAGAGUUAAAAAGAUAUAAGAUAUAUUCAGAUUGAAGAUGCUUGCAUAUUAUCUUGUUAAAGAUAAGGUUGAUGCUAUCCACUUAGCAUAACUUCCUUUGGGCCAAAGGUAACAAAGCCUUCAAACUGACCCCUCACUAACGAAUGCUCCUGUGAGAAGAGCUUUUAGCUGGUUAUGAAAAAGAUUUGAAUCAAUAUUGAUAACUCUUUAUGAGCUAUAAAGCAAAUGAGAACAUCAGCAACAAGAUUAUUUAUUUUUGACGAUGACAUUUAAUGUUGAUGUCGCUAAGAAUACCCUCGAGAAGCUGUUGAUGUUGUUAAUACUGAUAACAAAUAAAACAAUCUGUGCAUUGCUUUUGUGCACUGCCUGUCAGCACCCGUAUCUUAUCUGACUUUAAGCUGUUUGUUAGUACUAAACUUAGUGUUGUUUCCUCUAGAUGAAUUGUGGGGUAAGUGAUAAACAGCAUACUGCAGAAUCAGCCUUAUUUUUUUCUUUUCUAUUUGACUAGAUUGUCAUGUCUCUCACUUGUCCUGUACUGUCCUGCAUCACUAAAUAAAUACAAAGAAAUGCUAA